UUUGUUUGCGCAGGAUAGGUGGGAGGCGAUGAAAAUUUUCUUGCGGGAAGAUUGGAGCCGUUGGUGAGAUACCACUCUAACAAUGCUAGGAUUCUAACCCUACACCGUUAUCCGGUUAGGGGACAGUUUCAGGUGGUCAGUUUGACUGGGGCGGUCGCCUUCCAAAAGGUAACGGAGGCGUGCAAAGGUUUCCUCAGGCUGGUCGGAAAUCAGUCGUAGAGUGUAAAGGCAUAAGGAAGCUUGAUUGUGAGACCUACAAGUCGAACAAAGACGAAAGUCGGCCUUAGUGAUCCGACGGUUCCGAGUGGAAGGGCCGUCGCUCAACGGAUAAAAGUUACUCUAGGGAUAACAGGCUGAA
rnacentral:rRNA from 1 species